rnacentral:rRNA from 1 species
AUUGAACGCUGGCGGCAUGCCUAACACAUGCAAGUCGAACGGGGCAGCAAUGCCUAGUGGCGGACGGGUGAGGAAUACGUAGGAAUCUGCCCUUAAGUGGGGGAUAACCAGGGGAAACCCUGACUAAUACCGCAUGAUCUCUUCGGAGCAAAGAGGGGGACCGCAAGGCCUCUCGCUUCUGGAUGAGCCUACGUCUGAUUAGCUAGUUGGUAGGGUAAAGGCCUACCAAGGCGACGAUCAGUAACUGGUCUGAGAGGAUGAUCAGUCACACCGGAACUGAGACACGGUCCGGACUCCUACGGGAGGCAGCAGUGGGGAAUAUUGGACAAUGGGCGCAAGCCUGAUCCAGCCAUGCCGCGUGUGUGAAGAAGGUCUUCGGAUUGUAAAGCACUUUAAGUCGGGAGGAAGGGCUGCAGGUUAAUACCUUGCAGCCUUGACGUUACCGACAGAAUAAGCACCGGCUAACUUCGUGCCAGCCGCCGCCGUAACAC